rnacentral:rRNA from 1 species
CCUACGGGAGGCAGCAGUGGGGAAUCUUGCGCAAUGGGCGAAAGCCUGACGCAGCGACGCCGCGUGCGGGAAGAAGGCUUUCGGGCUGUAAACCGCUUUCAGCAGGAACGAAAAUGACGGUACCUGCAGAAGAAGGAGCGGCCAACUAUGUGCCAGCAGCCGCGGUGAUACAUAGGCUUCAAGCGUUGUCCGGAUUUAUUGGGCGUAAAGAGUUCGUAGGCGGUCGAGUAAGUCGGGUGUGAAAAUUCUGGGCUCAACCCAGAGACGCCACCCGAUACUGCUUGACUUGAGUUCGAUAGGGGAGUGGGGAAUUCCUAGUGUAGCGGUGAAAUGCGCAGAUAUUAGGAGGAACACCGGUGGCGAAGGCGCCACUCUGGAUCGAUACUGACGCUGAGGAACGAAAGCAUGGGUAGCAAACAGGAUUAGAUACCCUGGUAGUCCAUGCCGUAAACGGUGGGCACUAGGUGUGGGUUUCUAUUAACGAAAUCCGCGCCGUCGCUAACGCAUUAAGUGCCCCGCCUGGGGGUAGGUACGGUCGCGAGACGUAAACGUUAAAGUAAGUAGUAAGGUACGUGUUGAGUAGUUCGACGACGACGACGACGGAGGAGG